AUUAAAAUUUGUAUUUAUUAUAACUAAUAUUAAUUUUGUUUGGACAAGCAAAUGAAACCCUUAUAUGCAGUACAGUGUUGUUCGUUUGUCACAAAUCUAUGUCCUUUGGCAUCUUUGUGAUUCCAACAGCGUAAGCAAUGGCAGACAAACCUAGCCGAUCGCUGGUUCUAUACGGUGACGGUUUAGCUCGUUUCAUCAAUCCAUCUUCUUCACACAAUCACCAUCUCCACUCUCUCGCUUCUCUUUCUUCCUGCGGUUUAUUGUCUCUUUCCCAUUCUCCUCACCCAGAAACCGAGGAUCAAAGAAUUGUCACAGAAUUCGCACUGCUUCUCGAUGCAUCAUCCCAAAUUGAUGAUCCACCAAAACAAACCUUACCUCAUAGGUUUAUGGGAAUGAAAGCUGCUAUAUUCACCAACCAUUCAGGGUUGAAAUCUUUUAGUUCCAACCUCGGGUUAAGUGUUAUUCAGUUAGAUGAGUUUUUGAAACAACACACUUCUGAAUCGCAAGACAAUGAUGCUGUCGCUGCUGAGCUUCUCAACUUGCUUGGUUUUCAAGAAGGGAAGGUUCAAGACAAUAGCCAAUUUGAUAUCGUGUUCCUUCACGUUGGAGCUGGUGAAAAGGUUGAUGGAAGUGAAGAAAAUGCUGAUGUGGAGUGGGUGGAUGCAUUUGUUGGUGCAAUAAUGAGACAAGCGCAACCGGGAUCGGAUGUUGGUUCUCGGUUGCACUUGUCUGUUGUUAUGAGCUAUGGGAAGGUUUUGGCAGAGGAUGAAUCAAGGUUUUCAGUGUCAAAGAAGGUUGAUGAGAAGGACUCUUGUUUCUCAACACUGUAUCCUCUACAAAGUUAUGGUAUGAAAGGAGGAGUUCCUCGAAAGGAUGUGAGGCACCAUUCACCCAUGUUAAUUGCUCAACUGCAAUAUGGUGUGACUCGCAAGGAUAAUGCACACAAGUUUUCCUUCCAAGACUUCACAGAGGUUUGUUUCGAGAUUGGCUUCGGGUUUUAUUCACAAGAUUGAAAUUUAUUCCAAUCAGAUUUUCUUCUUUUUUUCUUUGGUGCAUGACUUGUUACAAAGGCCAUGCUCCAUUUCUUGCUCUUAAUGUGUUCUUACUUCUUUGUCCAGAGUGGUGGAAAUCUUACAAUACCGGCAGAUAGGUUGUUACAUGAGAUAGCCUUUAAGUUGUGGAAAGCUCCAAAAUAUGGAGCUUGAUUCCCAUGUCUCUCUUCUUGUAAGCCUCUUCCCAUAGCAGCAGGGGUAUUUGGAUGUGUCCAACACGGUCCACCGAUGUUCCUUAACAUGUUUAUUUCAAAUUCUAAACUCUGUUAACUUAAGUAAUAACCAAGAUUUGGAUGACA